GCGGAGGAGAAGAUGGUAGCGAUCACCUCAUCCGGGAAGAGGGUGACAUUCCGCUGGAUCUGCAGCAGGUUGAGCACCAGGGCCAGGACCACGCCGACGGAGAAGAGCACCAGGCUCCGCUGCACCAGAAUCCAGCAACAUUUCAAUCCAGUGGAUAAGUGCUGUGCUGGUGGCCAAACCGAGGAGGCUGGCUCUUCUGACAGGUGGGCUGACGGAGCAGAGGUCACAGUCCAUCAUCAAGGGACGCCAAAGCAGAAACCUGGGAACAGGCGCUGAAGCGGUGCCAUGAAGGAACGCCUGCCCCCCCUCUGGCUUGCUCAACUACACAGCCCACGCCCAGCUGCCUAGGGAUGGUACUGCCCACAUUGGGCCCUCCUACGUCAGUUAACAGUCAAGAAGGCCACAGUUCAGUCUGAUGGAAGGAAUUCCUCGGUUGAGGUGCCCUCUUCCCCGAUGUGUCAAGUUGACAACCAAGAUUACCAUCACACCCACCACCAACGCCUCCACAUGCAUGUGCACAGUUACAUGUGAAUCCUUACAUGUGCAUCCUCAAUCACACACGUGGCCACACACAUAAGCACAUGCGUACCACACAUAAACAAGCAAAAAAAAAAAAAAAACUUU